CUGCGCACAGCCACGGGCGACAACUGACUCUUGAACAAGAAAAUCGAUAUGGCUUUACGAAAAUUGAUUUUUCGCGUCUAUGCAUUGAACAGCACAUCUCAUUCUGUAAAGGUUUUGAAUACUCAUAUGUCUGCCUUUAGUGUAUUGAGUACUAACACCGACUUGAGAGUGAAACAUGACCGACACAACCUCUGCUUUUCUAUCAACCUGGACGGCGAAGGACAUCAGGAUAGCGCGGUUCUGCGCUACAAAUUUACGAGCAAGAAGGAGGUAGAUCUACUGUCAACUUAUGUACCCGAGUCUUUCAGGGGCAAAGGUGUUGCAGCUCUCCUGUCAAAGGCUGCCAUGGAUUUUCUGGUGGAAGAAAACCUCAAGGCCCAUAUAUCUUGUUGGUAUAUUAAGAAAUAUGUUGAGGAAACCCCACUUCUUUGUUAUAAGGAUCUUAUUAUAUUCUGAAUAAGCUGCAUCCUUGAUGAAUUGUGGUUGGAAAGAAUGGUAAUUGUAAAAAUACAAAAUACUUAAAAAUAAUAUAUACAGUACUAGUCAAAAGUUUGGACACACCAACUCAU